rnacentral:tRNA from 1 species
AUUUAGAUAGCUUAAACAAAGCAUCGGUCUUGUAAACCGAAGAUUGAGAAUUAAUUUUCUCUCUAAAUG